GAUCUCCUCAUUUAUUAUAGCCCAUGCGUGCUUCUUUGUUCCUCGUGGGCAAACGUUGGGUUUCUGUGCUGCUUACCAAUAUGAUUGGAAAUCGAUGCUUCGUUGUGGGAUAUCCGUCGCACCCUUCUUUAGGGGUUGCGAUGAACGUCAUAGCACCUCCUAUGUUCCAGGCAUGAUGAUCCCUUGAUUGAUCAAAUGUUUUGGCACAUGGGUAGGUAGCUCGUGCUUUGGGAUGCAUAAAGUUGGAUUCGAUCGAGGGAAUUAAAGCCCCUCAGUUGCCUCAUAUAACGUCGACGUUAUAAACGAAUGAACGAACGACUUGCGAUUCUCGUUUCUGGAUCUCGAUAUGUUGGGAUGAUGAUCCUUCACAUGUCGGGUGAUGGGGCGGGGGUUGCGGUCGCGAAGGAAUGC
rnacentral:misc_RNA from 1 species